UGAACCUUUACUAUAGCUUGACACUGAACAUUGAGCCUUGAUGUGUAGGAUAGGUGGGAGGCUUUGAAGUGUGGACGCCAGUCUGCAUGGAGCCGACCUUGAAAUACCACCCUUUAAUGUUUGAUGUUCUAACGUUGACCCGUGAUCCGGGUUGCGGACAGUGUCUGGUGGGUAGUUUGACUGGGGCGGUCUCCUCCUAAAGAGUAACGGAGGAGCACGAAGGUUGGCUAAUCCUGGUCGGACAUCAGGAGGUUAGUGCAAUGGCAUAAGC
rnacentral:rRNA from 1 species